rnacentral:rRNA from 1 species
AUUGAACGCUGGCGGCAUGCUUUACACAUGCAAGUCGGACGGCAGCGGGGGUGCUUGCACCUGCCGGCGAGUGGCGAACGGGUGAGUAACAUAUUGGAAUGUACCGAAUAGUGGGGGAUAACCAAUCGAAAGAUUGGCUAAUACCGCAUACGUCCUGAGGGGGAAAGCAGGGGAUCUUCGGACCUUGCGCUAUUUGAGCAGCCAAUAUCUGAUUAGCUAGUUGGUGGGGUAAAGGCCCACCAAGGCGACGAUCAGUAGCGGGUCUGAGAGGAUGAUCCGCCACACUGGGACUGAGACACGGCCCAGACUCCUACGGGAGGCAGCAGUGGGGAAUUUUGGACAAUGGGGGCAACCCUGAUCCAGCCAUGCCGCGUGUCUGAAGAAGGCCUUCGGGUUGUAAAGGACUUUUGUUAGGGAAGAAAAGGGAAGUGUUAAUACCACUUUUUGCUGACGGUACCUAAAGAAUAAGCACCGGCUAACUACGUGCCAGCAGCCGCGGUAAUACGUAGGGUGCGAGCGUUAAUCGGAAUUACUGGGCGUAAAGCGAGCGCAGACGGUUACUUAAGCAGGAUGUGAAAUCCCCGGGCUCAACCUGGGAACUGCGUUCUGAACUGGGUGGCUAGAGUAUGUCAGAGGGGGGUAGAAUUCCACGUGUAGCAGUGAAAUGCGUAGAGAUGUGGAGGAAUACCGAUGGCGAAGGCAGCCCCCUGGGAUAAUACUGACGUUCAUGCUCGAAAGCGUGGGUAGCAAACAGG